CUCUUUGCCCUUCUGGCCGGCGGCUGCCGGUUCUGACUCCGGCGGCACCACCGCCUUCUCAGUGGACUCUGGGGCCUAGAGCAAGUUCAAACAAAAUGCAUUUUUAGUGGCUGCAAGACAACGCUCAGUAGCAGUCAUCACGGGGAUUUCUUUGCUCACCUGGAAAUGUUCUGAUUCCCUCCGGAGCACGAAACUCCUGUGUGUCUCUUCCAUUGCUUUAUCCCCAGCAUCUCACCUGACACAUGAACCCAGGGAUGCUGGCAGGAAGCUGGAGGACAAGGUUACUGGAGCAUCCCACUUGAUUCAGACACUGGAAGCCAACCCAGGCUGGGAAUUUCUUGGGCUUUUUUUCAUGGAAACAUCAACUAAGGCUUUUAUAACUCAGAGGGCAAAUCUAACAGGAGCAGAGAAUGUCUGUUCCCACCCCCCAAAGUUAAACGAAGCAUUUGUCAUCUCCCAAUAGUACACACCAAUCUUCUCACGUGUGGAUCCAAA